AGGCCCAAAUAUUUUUACCCAUCCCAAAAAACCAGACCCGACCCGCGUUACCCCAAACCCCUACCCUUUUAAUUGAAAGACCUAGACCUAAUCACAUUAGAAGAGGAGACCCCAAGUUAGAAAAAACGACGCCUGUUUGGAGCAGAAGAACUCCCUUCCCCUUCCUCCAUUUUUCUCCAAAACCUCACGCCAAAAAUUUCCUACCAGCCUACCCUCCUCUUUGGUUUUACAUCUCCCUUCACAAAAAUCACGCAUCUCACAUCUGAAGUUUUCUUCAUAUAGCCGAAACAUAAGCAAAAAAAAAAAAAAAAUUAAAAAAAUGAAGAUCUGAAAAGGAUUUCGAAGGAGAUUCCUCUUCCUGGAUCCGUAAAUAUUGUUGAAGGCCGAAUCCAUGGUUGUUCGCUGCUGAUUGUUGCUGUCUCGAACUGGAAUUUUGAUUUCUUAGCCUCGCUUUGGUUCAUUCCAGUUCAUCAUAGGCAAAUAGAAAUUGAAUUUGCGUUUUGCUGAGCUCCUACGCAGUUGAGGUUGCCGACGAGUCCCUUAUUGCUGGUUUAGCUUGGUUGAGUUUUCUCGUCAAAAUUCCAGCUUUGUAAUACAGAAAUUUUCCUAUAUAAAAGCAUUUAUUUGGUUUCAGUUGCUGCUAUCUUCAGUUUAGCCGCUGUAUGAACAUCUUCUUUGCUCAAAUAGUGACAUAUUGCUUGCUUUGAGGAUUUUACCAAAGUUUGUUGAAGCUCCUAAGUUUCAUCGGCCAAAGCUCAGUCAAAACCGAACCCUCAACAACUUUUAAGGGAUUGGCAACGUAGGCUCCGACAAGAAUGUCGGAAUAUUGAACGUCAAAUCCGAGAUAUACAAAGAGAGGAGAAGAAUGUGCCGAAAGCAAUUAAAGAAGCUGCAAAGAGAAAUGAUAUGGGUUCUGCCAAGCUAGAUUUGAGCCGUCUGGAGGUUGUUUCACAUGAGAAGGUCAUUUUAAAGUAUCAAUCUAGCUUUUUGAGGUAAGUAUCGAUUCAUGUUCUACCUUUGUUGCCAAUAAACUCUUAUGUGCCUUAAUUGAAGUUGUCGCCUCUUUUAUUGCCAUGCUUUGCUUUCCGUAAUUGCUUAAACUUAAUUGAAGUUAUUGAUGGUUGUCCUUUCCGUGAUUGCUUAACCUUAGUUGAAGUUUUGUUAUCCCUUUCAUUGUUGACUUAUCUGUAUUUGGAAUAUGUGAUUCAUUCUAUCUCUCUUAUCGUCGAGUUUUACUUAUGAGGAACCGUUGUUACACAUUAUCUCUCCCCUUGUUAAGCUAUUCUUGUUGAAAUCAUUAUUACCUGUGGUGUCUUUCAUUGUGAGCUCAUUCUUCCGUUUCUUGUGUUCUGGAGUUCUUAUGUUGAUUUACUUAUCGUACUAUCGUGUAUUGCUGGUUCUAUUGUUGUACUCAGUAUUGUUGAUGCGAGGGCUAUGCGUGAUUAGUAUUGGGAUUGUUAUGAAGAAAUAUUGUGCAUAUGGGCACAUGUGGUGAAGGUAACUAUAUUGUGUUUCUAUAUUUUGGCAUACAUGGUAUAGUUAAGAGGCUUGUCGGGGUGUUCACACGUGAGUUGUCCGUGCUAUUGUUAUUACUGAUAUUGCACAUGUGACGUGACAAGGCGAGCUCUCUCUUUCUCUCUCUAUAUAUGUAUGUGUGUGUGUGUAUAGGUUUGUGCAUGUGGCGAAACAAGGUGGGAAUAUUAUUAUGCGCGUGUGGCUAGACAAGGUAAGCAUUUACUUUAUUGUUGCGCACGUUGCGAGACAAAGUGGCUAUGUCGAGAAUGAUUUGUGAUGACUUGUGAUAGCCUGGGGGUAGUGUUAUUGAUGAUAUUUGUGUAGUGGUGUGCCUACCUUGUGUGAGUUAUACAUUGUAUAUUUUGUGAUGAUUGUUUCCUAUGUACCAUUGUCUCUACUCUUUCUUGUUGACUUGAGUUGUGAUAGAACACUUGCACAAGCAUACACGUAAUUAAUCACCUAUACCGAUUUAAGAAGAUGAAUUCUGAUGUUAUUGACCAUUUACAUGUACUCUCGUUUACUUGCUUUCUGUGUAAGAGUUAUUUUAUUGGCACGUGAGUUGUCUGUGCGGUAAUGAGUCAUUGUUAUUGUUGGUACGUGAGUUCUCCGUACGGUCAUGAGUCAUUAUUAUUGUUGGCACAUGAGUCGUUCGUGCUGUUAUGAAUUUGUAAUGUGGGCACGAGAUGCCAAAUUUUUAGGGUUCAUGAAUUGGGACCCGUGAAGUGCGACUAUGAGGUGAAGUAUCUCGGGGAAAUCCUUGAGCAAAUCUUGUGUGAAAGCGGUUGCUCUUAUUGAGUUAUUACCUGUUUGUCCCUGUUGCUAAUCGUUAUUUCUAGUAUUUUAUUGCGAGUAUUGUUUUGUUGUCUUGACCAUGCUUAGUUUUAUAUUGAUAUUGUUUUCCUGCUAGUUUCACAUUUAUACUUGUACAUGUUAUUUAGUGUAGUAGGUGUCUUGACUGUCCCUUGUCACUAUUUCACCGAGGUUAGUCUUGAUACUUAUUGGGUACCACUAUGGUGUAAUCAUGCUACGCCUUUCUGUAUAAAUUUGUGCAGAUCCAGGUACCUCGGAGUUGGUUGAUACCUAGUUAGCGGUUCGAGCUUUGCUGCAGAGACUCAAGGUAUACCUGCCGUCGCGUUCGCAGGCCUCAGAGUCACCUUCUAAUCUUGUACUUAUACUGUCUAUUUCUUUUUUGAAACAAUUAUACUUAGAAUAUUUUUCUAGUUUCAGUAGAGUUUAUGACUUGUACUACCGGUUUUGGAUAUUGUAAUGCUCUCGGGGUUAUUGGUUUACUAUAGAAAUUUCAGUUCCAUGCUUAA